rnacentral:lncRNA from 1 species
UUGUUGAUUAGGAGAUGCAUGGGCCUGGACAACGGCUCGACGAACAUAAACGGGACAUUAAGACAGGCAGAAUUACGACAGCCCUAGCUGAGGAAGCCUACCAGAACGACCUACAUAUCGAAUGGGACCGUGCAAAAGUAAUAAAGACGAUCAAGCUCCCACCCCAGGCAGUAACCCAUGAAACGAUAGAAAUUAUGAGAGCGAGGGAAACCCAGAAUCUAUUAAAUGACAAACCUUCAGUCGAACUACCAGCGGCCUGGAAGUACAUGCUUAGAGACUUUAAAUGACUGUUUAUAAUAAUAAUAUUUUU